rnacentral:rRNA from 1 species
GAUGAACGCUGGCGGCGUGCUUAACACAUGCAAGUCGAACGGUGAAGCCAAGCUUGCUUGGUGGAUCAGUGGCGAACGGGUGAGUAACACGUGAGCAACCUGCCCUGGACUCUGGGAUAAGCGCUGGAAACGGUGUCUAAUACUGGAUAUGAGCCCCUUCCGCAUGGUGGGGGUUGGAAAGAUUUUUCGGUCUGGGAUGGGCUCGCGGCCUAUCAGCUUGUUGGUGCGGUAAUGGCUCACCAAGGCGUCGACGGGUAGCCGGCCUGAGAGGGUGACCGGCCACACUGGGACUGAGACACGGCCCAGACUCCGACGGGAGGCAGCAGUGGGGAAUAUUGCACAAUGGGCGGAAGCCUGAUGCAGCAACGCCGUGUGAGGGAUGACGGCCUUCGGGUUGUAAACCUCUUUUAGCAGGGAAGAAGCUUUUGUGGCGGUACCUGCAGAAAAAGCGCCGGCUAACUACGUGCCAGCAGCCGCGGUAA